rnacentral:rRNA from 1 species
UUGACGGGGCCGCACAAGCGGAGGAACAUGUGGUUAAUUCGAUGAUACGCGAGGAACCUUACCUGGGCUUAAAUGUAGAGUGCAUUUUUAGAGAUAGAAAUUCCCUUCGGGGCUUUCUGCAAGGUGCUGCAUGGUUGUCGUCAGCUCGUGCCGUGAGGUGUCGGGUUAAGUCCCAUAACGAGCGCAACCCUUAUCGUUAGUUGCCAUCUGGUAAUGCAGGGGACUCUAGCGAAACUGCCACCGUAAGGUGAGAGGAAGGUGGGGAUGACGUCAAAUCAGCACGGUCCUUAUGUCCAGGGCUACACACGUGUUACAAUGGCCGGCACAGAGGGCAGCUACCUGGUGACAGGAUGCUAAUCUCGAAAACCGGUCUCAGUUCGGAUCGAAGUCUGCAACUCGACUUCGUGAAGCUGGAUUCGCUAGUAAUCGCGCAUCAGCCAUGGCGCGGUGAAUACGUUCCCGGGCCUU